rnacentral:misc_RNA from 1 species
AAGACUAUAGACCUGCGGAGUACCUGCGGAGGGAUCAUUAUUGAAAGGGAUGUGCUGGCCCCUUUAGGGGCAUGUGAACUCCAAAAAGUCAAUAUCCCCAACUGUGCACUUUUUGGUAGGCAAUAGACUCCUUGCAAGUCUUUUGUCUAUGUUUUAUUACAAACACUUGACCUAUUUCAAUGUUUUUAUACAAUAACAUAUAAUUUUGUUAUACAACAACUUUUAACAACGGAUCUCUAG